CUGAGCUGAAGUCAGACGCUUAAACAACUGAGCCACCCAGGCACCCCAAGGGAUUCCUUUCUAAAAAAGGCAAGAAAUAGAAAAGCUUAAGGGAAGGGCAGGGGGCAGAGAUGCUGCAUCCUCUUUGGAUGUGGUAUUUGGAGAUACUGGUGGGACUUCGGGAGUUAAAAAGAUAAAUCGAGGCACACUAUAAAUUUGAAGAGAUUAUCUGCACAAAAGUCAGUUUGAAUCAAGUGGCACCAAGCUGGAAGUGGCUGGAGCACUCCCCUGACGGGACCCAGGGAAAGACUUUGCUAGAGAUUCUGUAGGAGCCAAGCAAGGCAAUGAUCUGAUUGGUUAUAUGGAGCUCAAGCGACUCCCUUCUUUUGGAAAGCCUACUGGCUGCUUGAGAUCGGUCCUCCUUAGAUUACCCUUGAGGCAUUUGUAGGCUCACAUUUGGGUUUGUUAAAGUGUGCUGCUAAAGCAUGAGAACCAUUUCGAUCUAACGGCCUCCUUGUUUAAUUAAUGCGGCACAGGUGAAGAUGGUGAGUAAUCAGUGGCGUGUGGGUAAAUUUUGAGCAACUGACUCACAACGGGUAGGGAUCAGGCAGCCGAUUUGUAGCAUUUGCCAAUUUCCAUGGUGCAAAGGCUCCCACCACUGCUGGCCCCAACUACCUAUUUUAUACCACUGGACGCGAGAGGGAAGAGAUAGGAACAGUUUCCAUGAGCCAGUCAGACCACAGCUGGUGGGUGGUAGGACAUAUGGGCUUGGAAUUCUGGGGCAUGUUUGACGGGGAAUAUAGAUUUGGGCCUACAAGUGGGGGGUUAAAGGCUGGGAAGAGAGAGAUUUCCUAAGGAGAUCAUAUAGCAUGAGAGGGGACUUGGCCGGUGUUAGAACACUGGGACUGUGCUCUCCAAGUGUGGGUCCCCCAUCAGCAGCAUCAGCAGCAUCUGGGAGCAGGUUCAUGGCACAUCCCUGGCCUGCGGAGUUAGAGUGGCCGAGGGUGGGGAAGCCCUGUCCUCGUGAUCACCAGCGUUGAAGAACCAGUUAGAAGAAGGGCACCUAGAGAGACCAAGAAGGAAUGUUGAGAGAAGCUGGAGCUGAGCACAGGAAGUGGAGUCUUUGAGCCAAGCAUGGGGACAGUGCCAGGACAGAGGGAAGUGGGCUGCAGUGAAGGGCCCCCAGGAGGUCAAGUCAGAUGGGAUGAACAGUAUCAGCUGCAUUUGAAGAGCGGUACCGGAGUCAUGGUGGGGGCAGGAGGUAGGUUGUAAUUGGUGAGGAGUGACUUGAUCACGGGCCAUUGGUUAGGACCUUUGGCUUGAAGAACAGAAGACAAAGGUUAGUAACUGGGAGAUGUGUGCUCAGUGAUAAGGUUUCUGGAAGAGGCCUGGAUAGAUUUGUGGCUGAGAGAAAGAGCCAGUAGAAUUUGGAAAGGUCCUGAAGGCAAGAAGGAGGUGGGAUAAUUUUGGCACAAAUUGGAGAAGAGUAGAAGGGAGGGAAUCAAGACCUUGGGAUGCACCCUGGCCUUGAAGAAGUUACCUGUGGGAUCUUAUCCUUGUCUUCAGAGGCUGGAGGGAAGGAGGGAUGGAGAAGAUUCUGGCAGAUGGAGUAAAUACUCCAUGGACUCUUCUUAGUACUGUCCUAUUGAUAGAUCUUCUGUAAAUCUCUACCCUUAUCCCUUUUGAUGAAAAGUGAUUCUGGAAAUGUUCCUGAAGCAGUUGGUAAGAUUGUGUUAGCCAGUCUGCUCUCACGGGAACUUUUGUUUUAUUUCUAACUUAAACCAAUUUUGGCAAGAGAAGUAGAGAAUUAAAGUUCUAAAGCUGUACAGAUCACUAGAAAUGCAAUACAAGCGACGUAUAACAUUUAAAAUUUCUAGUAGCCGCAGCAAAAAAUAAAAAAAAAACAGUGAAAGUAAUUUUAAUAAUAUAUUUUACUUGAUUGAUACACCCCAAAUCUCAUCAGAACAUGUAGUCAAUAUGAAAAUUAGUAAUGAGAUGUUUUACAUUCUUUUUUUUUUCUGUGUCUUGAAAGCCUGCACUAGCCACAGUUCCUGUGCUGGGUGGCUGCCAUAUUGGACGGUGCAUCUCUAGAGUCCAUACGGUUCUGUAGCACUGAACGCUGAUAGAAGAAAUAAAAAUGUGCCUGUUCUUAGGAGGUAAUAUCUGACCACCUUGGCCUCCCUUCAGCAAGAAUGCCAUCAGGUCAGCUUGGCAAAGAAUCACCCUCCCUAUCUUAGUAAUUUUCUGUGCACCAGUGACUCCCCCCUCCUGCACCGGUACCCAGCACUUGGCCAUUCAUGAUAAUAUUGCCCUGUAACCCUCAAGAGAGGGAGGAUCCCUCCUAUUGUCUCUGAUAGAAAGUUCCAGAGCCUUAGUGAAUGCUGCCAAAGAAGAGUGGGAAGAAAAAAGUCAGACCAAUGAUUAUGUGAAGAGAAAAAGCAACAUCAAGAAAAGUGGACAAUUAGCUUUGAUAUGGCAGCGACUUCCUUAGGUCAUCCUAUACGACUGAACUGCAAAGGAAAUAAAAAUGCUUGUUUAACAUA